UCAUAUGUACAUUCCUAUAGCACUAAUGCACUAGAUCCCAUUAGAUCUUCACAGUUAAGUGCAUUUGGGAUAGAGUAGUAUUGGGAUGGGUGACCACUCAGGAAGUCUUAGUGUUUUACAUGCC
rfam:Picea glauca, whole genome shotgun sequence.